CGCUCAUGAGCAGUGUGGCUAUAUAGAACGCCAGCCUCACCUGCCCAGCAGGCAGCAUGGGCAAGUAGCUUCACCCGACCUCAGCAGAUCACACGGCCCAAGCAGGAUAAAGUUUUCAGUUGGACUCCUCAUCUGCCUUCUCAUCCUGGGUGUUGACGGCCAGGGCUGGUUGUCAUUCAUGAGGGAAGCUGGUCAAGGUACAUAGAGAAAUGGAGGAAGCAGGAGUCUUAAGAAACCAGACAGAGUUUCAGAGAAAAGCAGGCUUAACCCAGGUAGACUUGCUUCUCAGCAUUUGCUGAACUGUUUCCAAAAUAAGAGCCAGAGAUUGUGAACACACAUCCUGUGCUUAAGCUCAGAAAUGGCAAGUGCCCAGGCAGGGCGACUUCGGGAGGCAACUGCAGCUCCUCUGCUCACAGUGAAGGACACGAUGGAUUGCGCUGAUGAACGUCCUCUUGAG